rnacentral:misc_RNA from 1 species
GGGGAACUUCAAUUUCUCUCUGCUCAGUGACUUUAAGUUGUUGCCACUCAUAAAGCUUCAGGAGUAUUGACUUCUAGUAAUUAUUGAUGGAACCAAACUGCCCAACAUCUAGCAACGAUUAUGCUGCUGACAUCUCUUCCAUCAGGCAAGCUCAAGUACGCAUCGAGCCCUUUGCGCACAGAACUCCUGUAAUCACCUCAGAAACUUUAGACUCUAUUGCUGGAAGAAAGUUGUACUUUAAAUGUGAAUGCUUUCAGAAGGGGGGAGCU